rnacentral:rRNA from 1 species
UACGUAGGGAGCGAGCGUUGUCCGGAUUCAUUGGGCGUAAAGAGUGUGUAGGCGGUGCUCUAAGUUUGUCGUGAAAUCUCCCGGCUUAACUGGGAGGGUGCGGCGAAAACUGGAGUGCUAGAGGGUGGGAGAGGAAAGCGGAAUUCCUGGUGUAGCGGUGAAAUGCGUAGAUAUCAGGAGGACCACCUGCGGUGUAGACAGCUUUCUGGACCACUUCUGACGCUGAGACACGAAAGCGUGGGUAGCAAACAGG